UACGAGGGGGGCUAAUGUUGUUCGGAAUUACUGGGCGUAAAGGGCUCGUAGGCGGCCAACUAAGUCAGACGUGAAAUCCCUCGGCUUAACCGGGGAACUGCGUCUGAUACUGGAUGGCUUGAGGUUGGGAGAGGGAUGCGGAAUUCCAGGUGUAGCGGUGAAAUGCGUAGAUAUCUGGAGGAACACCGGUGGCGAAGGCGGCAUCCUGGACCAAUUCUGACGCUGAGGAGCGAAAGCCAGGGGAGCAAACGGG
rnacentral:rRNA from 1 species